rnacentral:rRNA from 2 species
CGAGCGGACUUCUUAAAAGCUUGCUUUUAAGAAGUCAGCGGCGGACGGGUGAGUAACACGUGGGCAACCUGCCUGUAAGACUGGGAUAACUUCGGGAAACCGGAGCUAAUACCGGAUAAUAUAAGGAACCUCCUGGUUCUUUAUUGAAAGAUGGUUUCGGCUAUCACUUGCAGAUGGGCCCGCGGCGCAUUAGCUAGUUGGUGAGGUAAUGGCUCACCAAGGCAACGAUGCGUAGCCGACCUGAGAGGGUGAUCGGCCACACUGGGACUGAGACACGGCCCAGACUCCUACGGGAGGCAGCAGUAGGGAAUCUUCCACAAUGGACGAAAGUCUGAUGGAGCAACGCCGCGUGAGCGAUGAAGGCCUUCGGGUCGUAAAGCUCUGUUGUUAGGGAAGAACAAGUGCGAGAGUAACUGCUCGCACCUUGACGGUACCUAACCAGAAAGCCACGGCUAACUACGUGCCAGCAGCCGCGGUAAUACGUAGGUGGCAAGCGUUGUCCGGAAUUAUUGGGCGUAAAGCGCGCGCAGGUGGUCCUUUAAGUCUGAUGUGAAAGCCCACGGCUCAACCGUGGAGGGUCAUUGGAAACUGGGGGACUUGAGUGCAGAAGAGGAAAGUGGAAUUCCAAGUGUAGCGGUGAAAUGCGUAGAGAUUUGGAGGAACACCAGUGGCGAAGGCGACUUUCUGGUCUGUAACUGACACUGAGGCGCGAAAGCGUGGGGAGCAAACAGGAUUAGAUACCCUGGUAGUCCACGCCGUAAACGAUGAGUG